GAUGAACGCUAGCGGCAGGCCUAAUACAUGCGAGUCGGACGGGAUUUGGGAGCUUGCUCCCAAUGAGAGUGGCGCACGGGUGCGUAACACGUAUGUAACCUACCUUAAUCAGGGGGAUAGCCUCUCGAAAGAGAGAUUAACACCGCAUAAUAUAUUUUUAUGGCAUCGUAGAAAUAUCAAAUAUUUAUAGGAUUAAGAUGGGCAUUCGGAACAUUAGCUAGUUGGUAAGGUAACGGCUUACCAAGGCUACGAUGUUUAGGGGAUCUGAGAGGAUGACCCCCCACACUGGUACUGAGACACGGACCAGACUCCUACGGGAGGCAGCAGUAAGGAAUAUUGGUCAAUGGGCGCAAGACUGAACCAGCCAUGCCGCGUGCAGGAAGACGGCCCUAUGGGUUGUAAACUGCUCUUGUACCGGAAUAAACCCUUUUACGUGUAAAAGGCUGAAUGUACGGUAAGAAUAAGGAUCGGCUAACUCCGUGCCAGCCGCCGCCGUAA
rnacentral:rRNA from 1 species